AAAUGCAGUCGAACGAUAGAUGCCCAGCUUGCUGGGUGGAUUAGUGGCGAACGGGUGAGUAACACGUGAGUAACCUGCCCCUGACUCUGGGAUAAGCGUUGGAAACGACGUCUAAUACUGGAUAUGAUCACUGGCCGCAUGGUCUGGUGGUGGAAAGAUUUUUUGGUUGGGGAUGGACUCGCGGCCUAUCAGCUUGUUGGUGAGGUAAUGGCUCACCAAGGCGACGACGGGUAGCCGGCCUGAGAGGGUGACCGGCCACACUGGGACUGAGACACGGCCCAGACUCCUACGGGAGGCAGCAGUGGGGAAUAUUGCACAAUGGGCGAAAGCCUGAUGCAGCAACGCCGCGUGAGGGAUGACGGCCUUCGGGUUGUAAACCUCUUUUAGUAGGGAAGAAGCGAAAGUGACGGUACCUGCAGAAAAAGCACCGGCUAACUACGUGCCAGCAGCCGCGGUAAUACGUAGGGUGCAAGCGUUGUCCGGAAUUAUUGGGCGUAAAGAGCUCGUAGGCGGUUUGUCGCGUCUGCUGUGAAAUCCCGAGGCUCAACCUCGGGCUUGCAGUGGGUACGGGCAGACUAGAGUGCGGUAGGGGAGAUUGGAAUUCCUGGUGUAGCGGUGGAAUGCGCAGAUAUCAGGAGGAACACCGAUGGCGAAGGCAGAUCUCUGGGCCGUAACUGACGCUGAGGAGCGAAAGCAUGGGGAGCGAACAGGAUUAGAUACCCUGGUAGUCCAUGCCGUAAACGUUGGGCGCUAGAUGUAGGGACCUUUCCACGGUUUCUGUGUCGUAGCUAACGCAUUAAGCGCCCCGCCUGGGGAGUACGGCCGCAAGGCUAAAACUCAAAGGAAUUGACGGGGGCCCGCACAAGCGGCGGAGCAUGCGGAUUAAUUCGAUGCAACGCGAAGAACCUUACCAAGGCUUGACAUACACCGGAAACGGCCAGAGAUGGUCGCCCCCUUGUGGUCGGUGUACAGGUGGUGCAUGGUUGUCGUCAGCUCGUGUCGUGAGAUGUUGGGUUAAGUCCCGCAACGAGCGCAACCCUCGUUCUAUGUUGCCAGCGGGUUAUGCCGGGGACUCAUAGGAGACUGCCGGGGUCAACUCGGAGGAAGGUGGGGAUGACGUCAAAUCAUCAUGCCCCUUAUGUCUUGGGCUUCACGCAUGCUACAAUGGCCGGUACAAAGGGCUGCGAUACCGUAAGGUGGAGCGAAUCCCAAAAAGCCGGUCUCAGUUCGGAUUGAGGUCUGCAACUCGACCUCAUGAAGUCGGAGUCGCUAGUAAUCGCAGAUCAGCAACGCUGCGGUGAAUACGUUCCCGGGCCUUGUACACACCGCCCGUCAAGUCAUGAAAGUCGGUAACACCCGAAGCCGGUGGCCUAACU
rnacentral:rRNA from 1 species